GGUCCCGUAGCUCAGCUGGAUAGAGCAACGGAUUUCUAAUCCGUAGGUCAGAAGUUCGAAUCUUCUCGGGAUCACCA
rnacentral:tRNA from 1 species